rnacentral:rRNA from 1 species
UACGGGGGGGGCAAGCGUUGUUCGGAAUUACUGGGCGUAAAGGGCGCGUAGGCGGCCUGCUAAGUCGAACGUGAAAUCCCCGGGCUCAACCCGGGAACUGCGUCCGAUACUGGCAGGCUUGAAUCCGGGAGAGAGAUGUGGAAUUCCAGGUGUAGCGGUGAAAUGCGUAGAUAUCUGGAGGAACACCGGUGGCGAAGGCGGCAUCCUGGACCGGUAUUGACGCUGAUGCGCGAAAGCCAGGGGAGCAAACGGG